UUUGAUAGUUCAUGUUUCUCUAAUUUCUUUCAUCACAUAUGAAAAUGAAACCGUUUUAAGUAUAAAAAAUUUAUUUCACACUAUUCUUGACUUUAUAUUUUAAUAAAUAGCUUUUGGCCUCAACGAAUUAGUGAGCCCAGUCAGCGUUUCUCGAGUUCAAACGUUAUAUGAAUAAGAAAAGGAAAAUAACAGAAGCAUCCUAAUGAAAUUAACGCAAAACGACAAUAAACAUUAAAAAAAAAUUAAAAAAUUUGAAUAUCAGUGUAAUGACCGAUUUUUGUCAAAAGUUGUUAACAAUAUUUAUAAUCUACACGAAAAAUGUCCCAAGUAACCAAAAGUUCCAUAGAAUGGUCUCUUAGAAGCUUACUCAGCCCUGAUUGAAGGCUUUAUAGCGUUCUACUCAGCUGAAAUUUUAAGUUCUUAUUGAUUCUUUCAAGUUCCAUAAACAAAGCUGAGUAGAAGGCUAUUCAGCUUCAAAUGAAACUUUAAAAAAAAUCUUGCAAAAAUAAAGCGCUCUAAAGUCGUUUUAUAGUUUUAAUUAUGAUUAUCUUUAAUAUUUAUAUUUGUUUCUAUUUUCAACAAUUUUAAACUUACUUGAAAAAUUUUCCUGCAUGGAGAUUUGAACCUGAACCUGUGGAAUGAAAGCUGAGCACGUUACCUUUGAACCAUGGCCGUUUUCUGACUCAAUGGUAUUUAAAACAUCUAUUUGAAAUAAUUUACGGGUUAUCCUUUUAAAAGUAGGCCGGAUGAAAAAUAGUAAACAAUCAGCUUCUAAAAGUAAAAACAAAAGUUGUGAAGGCUGCCGUACGAAAUAAAUUAUCCUUGCCAUCAAUUUUGCAUACCAUGAAUUGAUAAUCUCCGUGUGAGUCGUAUCCGCAAAAUUUAAAUUUGAACUUCGAAAAAGGAACAUACCUACAAAAUAUGUGGACCGUGAACAAGCCGCUGCAAUUUCUGUUACAAUACAAUCCAAUUUUAAAGAACUACAGAAACAGAGUCUACAGGAGGAGUUAUUGGCUGAUACCAGAAAACAAAAUUUAAGAAAAUUAUCAAAAUUGUUCGAUUUUUACGGAAAAUCGUCGCAUUCAACAUGGAAAAAUAAUGAGCUAAAUCGACCCACAUUUCCUAAGGAUCCAUCGAUCCGUCGAAAUAAUCUGCCUUUGAUGUUUGUUCGAAUGGUACUGGAUGUGUAGUUAAUGUUGCUGUGAGAGUUACAUUCAUUGAAAAGGGAAAUAAGAAGAAUCGGAAUAACUAUGUUUUUACUAAUGCGGAAAACGUAAAAAACUAUGAAAUGUAGUCUGAUAGUGAAUAUUUAUAUGUGAUUCGAAUUUAUAACGUAAUAAUAUACAAUCUCUGAUUAAUAUGCAUUUCCCAAAUAAUUUUAACUUUAU